AGGGCUGUAGCCCAGUGAAAGGGCAUCAGCUUCGCAUGCCAAAGGUCCUGGGUUCAAUAUUCAGCAUCUCUA